UCACUAAUGGAACAGGUGUUCAGAAGUCCUGUGGCACCCCUUGCCUUUUUAAUCAUUUUGUAUCUUACAAGUCAAAUCACAGCAUUAGGCUGGAAUCUUGGUGGACAAGUAGUCUUACAUGAUUUCCUUGGACUAGAUAUACCUAAUUGGCUUCAACAUGCUACGAUCAGAGUUAUUGCCAUUGUUCCAGCUCUUUAUUGUGUAUGGACUUCAGGAGUAGAAGGAAUAUACCAGCUGCUUAUUUUUACACAGGUUACAAUUGCACUGCUACUUCCGUCUUCCGUGAUCCCACUUUUCCGGGUUGCAUCAUCAAGGCCGAUAAUGGGUGUCUACAAAAUUUCUCAGCUUUUGGAGUUUGUAGUACUGAUUAUUUUCAUGGGUUUGCUAGGC
rnacentral:misc_RNA from 1 species